GAUGAAGAACGUAGCGAAAUGCGAUAAGUAGUGUGAAUUGCAGAAUUCAGUGAAUCAUCGAAUCUUUGAACGCACAUUGCGCCUCCUGGUAUUCCGGGAGGCAUGCCUGUUCGAGCGUCAUUAAAAUCACUCAAGCUUAGGUUUACCUAUUGCUUGGUCUUGGAGAUGGAAGCCAAUUCAUUGGAAUCCUCUUCGAAAUCCAAUGGCGAAGACCCUUGCUCUCCCAAGUGUAGUAAUAACUUAUGUCACUGAAGGAAGCGAGAAAUCUUCCGCCGUAACCCCCAUAUUUUCUAUGAUUGACCUCGGAUCAGGUAGGGAUACCCGCUGAACUUAAGCAUAUCAAUAAGCGGAGGA
rnacentral:misc_RNA from 1 species